AUUGAACGCUGGCGGCAUGCCUUACACAUGCAAGUCGAACGGCAGCACGGGAGCAAUCCUGGUGGCUAGUGGCGAACGGGUGAGUAAAGUAUCGGAACGUGCCUCGUCGUGGGGGAUAACGUAGCGAAAGUCACGCUAAUACCGCAUACGAACUAGGGAUGAAAGCGGGGGAUCGUAAUACCUCGCGCGAUGGGAGCGGCCGAUAUCAGAUUAGGUAGUUGGUGGGGUAAUGGGUCAUCAAGCCGACGAUCUGGAGCUGGGCUGAGAGGAAGGUCAGCCACACUGGAACUGAGACACGGCCCAGACGCCUACGGGAGACAGCAGUGGGGAAUUUUGGACAAUGGGCGAAAGCCUGAUGCAGCCAUGCCGCGUGCAGGAUGAAGGCCUUCGGGUUGUAAACUGCUUUUGUACGGAACGAAAAGGUUUGGCCUAAUAAGCUGAGCUCAUGGCGGUACCCUAAGAAUAAGCACCGGCUAACUACGUGCCAGCCGCCGCAGUAA
rnacentral:rRNA from 1 species